GUUGCCAUCUGCGUGAGCAGGGCUGCGUGUCAAGUCUAUGGACUCGACUCUUGCACAUCUACGUCUUAGGUUUGCGCCAAUUCGUGGUAAGCUUGGGUCAUAGAGACUCAUAGGUGUUAUAAAGACUCGCUGGUGUUUGUCUCCUUGAGGCAUACGGCUUUAAACCAAAACUCUCAAAGUUUGACCUCAAAUCAGGUAGGAGUACCCGCUGAACUUAAGCAUAUCAAUAAGCGGAGGAAAAGAAACCAACCGGGAUUGCCUUAGUAACGGCGAGUGAAGCGGCAAAAGCUCAAAUUUGAAAUCUGGCGUCUUCGACGUCCGAGUUGUAAUUUGAAGAAGGCGACUUUGUAGCUGGUCCUUGUCUAUGUUCCUUGGAACAGGACGUCAUAGAGGGUGAGAAUCCCGUGUGGCGAGGAUCCCAGUUAUUUGUAAAGUGCUUUCGACGAGUCGAGUUGUUUGGGAAUGCAGCUCUAAGUGGGUGGUAAAUUCCAUCUAAAGCUAAAUAUUGGCGAGAGACCGAUAGCGAACAAGUACAGUGAUGGAAAGAUGAAAAGAACUUUGAAAAGAGAGUGAAAAAGUACGUGAAAUUGUUGAAAGGGAAGGGCAUUUGAUCAGACAUGGCGUUUGCUUCGGCUUUCGCUGGGCCAGCAUCAGUUUUAGCGGUUGGAUAAAUCCUCGGGAAUGUGGCUCUGCUUCGGUAGAGUGUUAUAGCCCGUGGGAAUACAGCCAGCUGGGACUGAGGAUUGCGACUUUUGUCAAGGAUGCUGGCGUAAUGGUUAAAUGCCGCCCGUCUUGAAACACGGACCAAGGAGUCUAACGUCUAUGCGAGUGUUUGGGUGUAAAACCCGUACGCGUAAUGAAAGUGAACGUAGGUGAGGGCCCGCAAGGGUGCAUCAUCGACCGAUCCUGAUGUCUUCGGAUGGAUUUGAGUAAG
rnacentral:rRNA from 1 species